CCUUACAGUCGACUAGAGCCGAGUUUUUCAAGAGAUAGCCAAUAUGAGAGGGAGCAACCUAGUGCAGCCAACGACGAUAUUUUUCAUCGGAUGCCUUGUCGUGUGUGUCCAGUGUGGUCUCGAUGCUAAUGAAAUGGUAGUCAAACAAGAUGGCCGUGUGGCGAAUACAAGUACUGACGCUGCCGUUGUCAACUCAACGUCUGUAGGCGACAGCAAGAUAACUGUCAAAUUUUGCAUUCAAAAUUUGGGAUGCCAUCUUUCAGAUGGGUACCGUGGUACAUGCUACUGCUGCCAGAAAGCUGAGGUCGAGUGUUUCAGGACGCGGAGUGAGUGUCAAGACAUCUGCCCUACGUGCAACCCAAAAUGCCAACCUCCGUCGGGGUCUCUUGGAUGGAAUUUCAGGCUCAAACAGAUUGUCCAUCGGUAAUAAAAGGAACCUAGUUUGGUUUGGGCAACUGGCUCCCAACCAAAUAUCAACGGAUAUCCUUUGGUCGUCGUGCUUCGACAGGAUUGUCUGAUAUACUUUCUCUCUCCUUUUUCUUUGGGAUUAUGAGGUUGGCUUUGAAUGCUUCCACAACA